AACGAACGCUGGCGGCAUGCCUAACACAUGCAAGUCGAACGCCUGCAGCAAUGCAGGAGUGGCAGACGGGUGAGUAACACGUGGGAAUCUACCCAGUAGCUCGGAAUAACCGCGGGAAACUGCGGCUAAUACCGGAUAAGCCCCGAGGGGGAAAGGAGCAAUCCACUAUUGGAGGAGCCCGCGUCUGAUUAGCUAGUUGGUGGGGUAAUGGCCUACCAAGGCGAUGAUCAGUAGCUGGUUUGAGAGAACGACCAGCCACACUGGGACUGAGACACGGCCCAGACUCCUACGGGAGGCAGCAGUGGGGAAUAUUGGACAAUGGGGGAAACCCUGAUCCAGCAAUGCCGCGUGGGUGAUGAAGGCCUUCGGGUUGUAAAGCCCUUUUGUCGGGGACGAUGAUGACGGUACCCGACGAAUAAGCCCCGGCUAACUUCGUGCCAGCCGCCGCCGUAA
rnacentral:rRNA from 1 species